rnacentral:lncRNA from 1 species
UUUUUUUUUCACAAAGCCAAAAGUACUUCUUUAUUUUUUCUAAGUCAAGGGUUAGGUUAUAAUCUUUCUCACUUGGAUUUUUCUAUUGUCGAUGGCUCUCGCGCUCACGCCGCCCCAAUGCUUGCCCGCCGAGCUCAAGCGCCCCAGCAUGGCGGCCAUCACCGAGCUUCACACCCACGAGCUCCAGCUCUAGCUCCAGCACAUCCAGCACACCACCAUGGACACCA